rnacentral:lncRNA from 1 species
UCUUGCUUCUGAAUCUUCCCACAACUUCCAGACUCCCCUCCAUGCAGCCAAAAAACCCCAAUAAAGCUUUUGCAAUCUGACAGAGGCGGGCGAAAGCAAGUUCAGAGAAAAGACAUUCCCCUGAAGAAGAGCAGGAGAACAGUCCUCGAGCCCUGCCUGUGCUAGGUGAAGGACAGCCAGCCACACCACUUGCUCAAUCCUAAAACCAUCUCCCCCAAGCCCUGGAGACACACUGGCAGUUGAACUGAUUUUCCAGGUAAGCCUCUUUUUUUUUUUUAAACCCUGAAUCUUGAUAGCUGAGCG